CUCCUACGGGAGGCAGCAGUGGGGAAUAUUGCGCAAUGCCGGCAACGGUGACGCAGCGACGCCGCGUGGGUGAUGAAGGCCUUCGGGUCGUAAAGCCCUUUCGGUGGGGAAGAAAGGCAUGGGGAGUAACUGUCCUGUGCUUGACGGUACCCACAGAAGAAGCCCCGGCUAACUCCGUGCCAGCAGCCGCGGUAAUA
rnacentral:rRNA from 1 species